rnacentral:rRNA from 1 species
AUUGAACGCUGGCGGCAGGCCUAACACAUGCAAGUCGAGCGAGCGGCGGACGGGUGAGUAAUGUAUGGGGACUGCCCGAUAGAGGGGGAUAACUAAUGGAAACGGUGGCUAAUAACGCAUAAUAUCGGAUAACACAUAUGGGAUUAGCUAGUAGGUGGGGUAAAGGUUAACCUAGGCUCCGAUCUCUAGCUGGUCGGAGAGGAUGAUCAGCCACACUUGGACUGAGACACGGCCCAGACUCCUCCGGAGGCAGCAGUGGGGAAUAUUGCACAAUGGGCGCAAGCCGUAGGCAGCCAUGCCGCGUGUAUGAAGAAGGCCUUAGGGUUGUAAAGUACUUUCAGCGGGGAGGCGUUACCCGCAGAAGAAGCACCGGCUAACUCCGUGCCAGCAGCCGCGGUAAUAC